rnacentral:rRNA from 1 species
GAGCGUUGUCCGGAAUUAUUGGGUCGUAAAGCGCGUGUAGGCGGUUUCUUAAGUCUGAUGUGAAAGCCCCGGGCUCAACCUGGGAAGUGCAUUGGAAACUGGGGGACUUGAGUACGGGAGAGGGUAGUGGAAUUCCUAGUGUAGGAGUGAAAUCCGUAGAUAUUAGGAGGAACACCGGUGGCGAAGGCGGCUACCUGGACCGAUACUGACGCUGAGACGCGAAAGCGUGGGGAGC